rnacentral:rRNA from 1 species
CCUACGGGAUGCACCAGUGGGGAAUAUUGCACAAUGGGCGCAAGCCUGAUGCAGCCAUGCCGCGUGUGUGAAGAAGGCCUUCGGGUUGUAAAGCACUUUCAGCGGGGAGGAAGGCGGUGAGGUUAAUAACCUCACCGAUCGACGUUACCCGCAGAAGAAGCACCGGCUAACUCCGUGCCAGCAGCCGCGGUAAUACGGAGGGUGCAAGCGUUAAUCGGAAUUACUGAGCGUAAAGCGCACGCAGGCGGUCUGUCAAGUCGGAUGUGAAAUCCCCGGGCUCAACCUGGGAACUGCAUUCGAAACUGGCAGGCUAGAGUCUUGUAGAGGGGGGUAGAAUUCCAGGUGUAGCGGUGAAAUGCGUAGAGAUCUGGAGGAAUACUGGUGGCGAAGGCGGCCCCCUGGACAGAGACUGACGCUCAGGUGCGAAAGCGUGGGGAGCAAACAGGAUUAGAUACCCGUGUAGUC